rnacentral:piRNA from 1 species
UACAUACCAGAAGGGACCUAUGUUCGUUGU